GUGCAGUGAUGACUUCAGAAGGUUUCGCUAAGUUUCUGACAAAAUCAAUCAGAUGACAUUUCCUUGGCUGUCUGAGCAC